rnacentral:rRNA from 1 species
GACGAACGCUGGCGGCGUGCUUAACACAUGCAAGUCGAGCGGAGCGGCGAACGGGUGGGUAACGCGUGAGUAACUGCCCCCCUCUCUGGGAUAACAGUUGGAAACGGCUGCUAAUACCGGAUAGUGGGGGUUGACUCGCGUCCUAUCGGCUUGUUGGUGGGGUAGUGGCCUACCAAGGCGACGACGGGUAGCCCGCCUGAGAGGGCGACCGGCCACAUGGGGCUGAGGUACGGCCCAAACGCGUACGGGGGGCAGCAGGGGGGAAGAUUGCACAAGGGGGGAAACCCGGAUGCAGCAGCGCCGCGGGCGGGAUGACGGCCUUCGGGGUGUAAACCGUUUUCAGCCAUGACGCGGUAGUGGCAGAAGAAGCACCGGCUAACUACGUGCCAGCAGCCGCGGUAAUUC